rnacentral:rRNA from 1 species
GACGAACGCUGGCGGCGUGCUUAACACAUGCAAGUCGAACGGAAAGGCCCUGCUUUUGUGGGGUGCUCGAGUGGCGAACGGGUGAGUAACACGGGAGUAACCUGCCCUGUACGUUGGAAUAACUUCAGGAAACUGGGGCUAAUACCGGCUAGGAGCUCCUGCUGCAUGGGGGGGUUUGGAAAGUUUCGGCGGUUGUGGAUGGACUCGCGGCUUAUCAGCUUGUUGGUGGGGUAGUGGCUUACCAGGGCAUUGACGGGUAGCCGGCCUGAGAGGGUUGACGGCGACAUUGGGCCUGAGAUACGGCGCAGACUCCAACGGGAGGCAGCAGUGGGGAAUAUUGCACAAUGGGCGGAAGCCUGAUGCGGCAACGCCGCGUGCGGGAUGAAGGCCUUCGGGUUGUAAACCGCUUUCGCCUGUGACGAAGCGUGAGUGACGGUAAUGGGUAAAGAAGCACCGGCUAACUACGUG